rnacentral:rRNA from 1 species
AUACGGAGGGUGCAAGCGUUACUCGGAAUCACUGGGCGUACAGCGCGCGCAGGCGGUCUUUUAAGUUGGAUGUGAAAGCCUACGGCUCAACCGUAGAACUGCAUCCAAAACUAUUAGACUAGAGUGUGGGAGAGGAAGAUGGAAUUAGUUGUGUAGGGGUAAAAUCCGUAGAGAUAACUAGGAAUACCAAAAGCGAAGGCAAUCUUCUGGAACACUACUGACGCUGAGGCGCGAAAGCGUGGGGAGCAAACAGGAUUAGAUACCCUAGUAGUCC